UUAACUGUAUCUCUAAUAUGGUACAGGCGUGCAUUGGUUCAAAAGUUAUUACUAGUGAAUCCUUGCCAGCAAUUAGGAAGGAUGUCUUGGCCAAGUGCUAUGGUGGGGACAUUUCAAGAAAAAAGAAGUUGCUCAAGAAACAGGCUGAAGGGAAGAAAAGAAUGAAGGCAAUUGGCAAGGUAGAUGUACCUCAAGAAGAUUUCAUGGCUGUAUUGAAACUUGAAAAGGAGGUGUUGUAAUGAAUAAUAUAUUACUUCUUAACUUGUAAUGUUACUUCCUGUUAAUGCAAUAUGAAACUUAGCCAUGAAAAUAAACAAGUUUGUGCCCGUUUAUUUUGAAUCAUCUGUUUAUUUUCCCUUUGAGGCUGUUAUGUUGCAAA